AGGACGAACGCUGGCGGCGUGCUUAACACAUGCAAGUCGAGCGGAAAGGCCCUUCGGGGUACUCGAGCGGCGAACGGGUGAGUAACACGUGAGUAAUCUGCCCCUAGCUCUGGGAUAGCUCCGGGAAACCGGGAUUAAUACCAGAUACGACCACUUUAGACAUCUGUUGUGGUGGAAAGUAAUUUUGGCUAGGGAUGAGCUCGCGGCCUAUCAGCUUGUUGGUGAGGUAACGGCUCACCAAGGCGACGACGGGUA
rnacentral:rRNA from 1 species